ensembl:snRNA U6 U6 spliceosomal RNA
GUGCUCACUUCGGCAGCACAUAUACUAAAACUGGAAAGACACAGAGAAGAUUAUCAUGACCCCUGUGCAAGGAUGACACAGAAGUUCAUGAAGCAUUACAGACACUU